GACGAACGCUGGCGGCGUGCUUAACACAUGCAAGUCGAACGGAAAGGCCCUGCUUUUGUGGGGUGCCCGAGUGGCGAACGGGUGAGUACCACGUGAGUAACCUGCCCUUGACUUGGGGAUAACUUCAGGAAACUGGGGCUAAUACCGGAUAGGACCCCUUGUUGCAUGGUGGGGGUUGGAACGUUUCGGCGGUUGGGGAUGGACGCCCGGCUUAUCAGCUUGUUGGUGGGGUAGUGGCUUACCAAGGCUUUGACGGGUAGCCGGCCUGAGAGGGUGACCGGCCACAUUGGGACUGAGAUACGGCCCAGACUCCUACGGGAGGUAGCAGUGGGGAAUAUUGCACAAUGGGCGGAAGCCUGAUGCAGCAACGCCGCGUGCGGGAUGACGGCCUUCGGGUUGUAAACCGCUUUCGCCUGUGACGAAGCGUGAGUGACGGUAAUGGGUAAAGAAGCACCGGCUAACUACGUG
rnacentral:rRNA from 1 species